GGUUAACGUUAACGUUAACGUUAACGUUAACGUUAACGUUAACGUUAACGUUAACGUUAACGUUAACGUUAACGUUAACGGUUAAC
rnacentral:pre_miRNA from 1 species